AAUUAUACUUUCUACUACAUUACGGAAGCCUUGGAAUAACAGGUAAAGUUAUUGUUAUUGCUAUGUGAUCAGGAGGUCAAAAGUUUGAGCCGUGGAAACAAAAAUGCAGGAUAAGGAAAAUGCUGGUGGUGAUCUCUUCUCUUUUCAUUCAAAAUUUUGGACACGAAGGGCUAUCAUCUAAGCAGAGAAACAAAUACACAAAGGAAGAUGGGAGUUAACACAGACCUCUUUUCUCUCAAAUAGCCUAAACCUCACUUUUACAUUUUUCAUUAGUUAUAUACUACUAAAAUUCUUUCACUAUAGCUUCAUUUUCCUUUA